UAGCAUUCUCGGCUUCUCCAAGACAUCAACAUCAAUUUGGGGCAAUGAUUCAAUGUUGUAUUCAGGUGAAGAUUUCAUGGAUUGAACUCAUUGAAGAAUGAAGGUUGCGGACUUCGGGACUUGCGGUCAAAUUCUCUUCAUCUCAUCGUCUGGAAUUCUGAAAAUCUGUGGAUGAUCCGACUGGAGAACUUAUAAAUGGAGGUAUGAUUGUAUGAAAUGGGAACAUAUAUGUGAUCUGUCACUGAAUUGUGAUUGAUUUGUGUAAACUGUCAAGCGGUUUCAUUGAACCAACCUAUUUGCUGCUUUUUUUAGCUGCACUUGUUGUCUUGUUUGAUAUUCCAAGUCUGGAAAUACGAAGUGAACACAA